UGGUAGUCCACGCCGUAAACGAUGUUUACUAGCCGUUGGGACUCUUGAAGUCUUAGUGGCGCAGCUAACGCACUAAGUAGACCGCCUGGGGAGUACGGCCGCAAGGUUAAAACUCAAAUGAAUUGACGGGGGCCCGCACAAGCGGCGGAGCAUGUGGUUUAAUUCGACGCAACGCGAAGAACCUUACCUGGCCUUGACAUGCAGAGAACUUUCCGGAGAUGGAUUGGUGCCUUCGGGAACUCUGACACAGGUGCUGCAUGGCCGUCGUCAGCUCGUGUCGUGAGAUGUUGGGUUAAGUCCCGUAACGAGCGCAACCCCUAUCCCUAGUUGCUAGCAGUUCGGCUGAGAACUCUAGGGAGACUGCCGGUGACAAACCGGAGGAAGGUGGGGAUGACGUCAGGUCAUCAUGGCCCUUACGGCCAGGGCUACACACGUGCUACAAUGGUGCGCACAGAGGGCUGCAAACCCGCAAGGGGGAGCCAAUCUCACAAAACGCAUCGUAGUCCGGAUCGCAGUCUGCAACUCGACUGCGUGAAGUCGGAAUCGCUAGUAAUCGUGAAUCAGAAUGUCACGGU
rnacentral:rRNA from 1 species